rnacentral:lncRNA from 1 species
UUUGAGUUGGCUCUGUACUGCUCUAUUCUCUCCUCAACCUCUUCUCCUUCUCUGUGCAGAUGUGUAGGCACGCUAAGGCCGGAGGGGAAGGCCAUGUGACCUAAUGUUUCAUGUCACUGCCACGCCUUCUCGGUGCGCAGAAGAAAUACCUUUAGGAAAAGGCACCUCUAAAAAUUGCCCAAAGACAACCAGAUGAGCUGGCAGCAGCCCUGGUACCCAGCGGAUGGGCACCUGGACCUGCCUUUCUACUGACUGCAGAGGACGCAGCCCUUCUGUUGGCUCCUCAGUGGCCAGCCUCCAGCUUCCAAGGGAUCCUCCCUGCUGGCCUCCCAAUUUUUCCUCUGCC